rnacentral:rRNA from 1 species
AGUGAACGCUGGCGGUAGGCCUAACACAUGCAAGUCGAACGGCAGCACAGUAAGAGCUUGCUCUUACGGGUGGCGAGUGGCGGACGGGUGCGGAAUACAUCGGAAUCUACUUUUUCGUGGGGGAUAACGUAGGGAAACUUACGCUAAUACCGCAUACGACCUACGGGUGAAAGCAGGGGAUCUUCGGACCUCGCGCGAUUGAAUGAGCCGAUGUCGGAUUAGCUAGUUGGCGGGGUAAAGGCCCACCAAGGCGACGAUCCGUAGCUGGUCUGAGAGGAUGAUCAGCCACACUGGAACUGAGACACGGUCCAGACUCCUACGGGAGGCAGCAGUGGGGAAUAUUGGACAAUGGGCGCAAGCCUGAUCCAGCCAUACCGCGUGGGUGAAGAAGGCCUUCGGGUUGUAAAGCCCUUUUGUUGGGAAAGAAAAGCAGCAGGUUAAUACCCCGCUGUUCUGACGGUACCCAAAGAAUAAGCACCGGCUAACUUCGUG